rnacentral:sRNA from 1 species
GCUGGGCUCGGUGGCUCACGCCUGUAAUCCCAGCGGCUUGGGAGGCUGAGACAGGAGGAUUGCGAGUUUAAAGUCAAACCCAGCAACUUAGUGAGACACUAAGCAACUCAGUGAGACCCUGUUUCUA